UAGUAGAAGUAUUUAUGUAUACGUGGCCAGCAGAAUUUUUGAUGCGUACGAACUAUGAGGUCGGACAUGUAGCAUUCAAUUUACUC